ACGAACGCUGGCGGCGUGCCUAAUACCUGCAAGUCGAGCGGACGAAUCGAAAGCUUGCUUUUGAUUCGUUAGCGGCGGACGGGUGAGUAACACGUGGGCAACCUGCCCUGUAGACGGGGAUAACACCGAGAAAUCGGUGCUAAUACCGGAUAACACGAAAUGUCGCAUGACGUUUCGUUGAAAGACGGCGCAAGCUGUCGCUACAGGAUGGGCCCGCGGCGCAUUAGCUAGUUGGUGAGGUAACGGCUCACCAAGGCGACGAUGCGUAGCCGACCUGAGAGGGUGAUCGGCCACACUGGGACUGAGACACGGCCCAGACUCCUACGGGAGGCAGCAGUAGGGAAUCUUCCGCAAUGGACGAAAGUCUGACGGAGCAACGCCGCGUGAGCGAAGAAGGCCUUCGGGUCGUAAAGCUCUGUUGUUAGGGAAGAACAAGUAACGCAGUAACUGGCGUUACCGUGACGGUACCUAACGAGAAAGCCACGGCUAACUACGU
rnacentral:rRNA from 1 species